AAUUUUUCAGCUCGUUUAAUAAACGAGCCGAACACGAGCUAGGAUCAGCUUGCUCGUGUUCGGCUCGAUAACAGCUCGAUUAUAUUUAUUUUAUAUGAAUAUAAUUUAUUUAUUAUAUAUAUAUAUAAUUAUAUUUGUAUUAUAAAUAUAUAAUACAGAUUAUUAAUUUUAAAUUUUUAGCCCAACAUUUUUUUAAAAAACUCAACUUAUUUAUAAAAGAGGCCCAUAGGCCCAUUUAUAUUUAGAAUUCUUCUUUCUACUCAUGGCCCAUAGCUCAUGAAAUAAAUUUCACACAUUUUCUUUCUAACCCUAAUUACCUUUUCCCACUUUUUGUUCACACAGCCGCCUCUCUCUUUCUCUCUCUCUCAGUCUCGCACAGGCACAACCAUGAGCCACCUCUCUUUUUUUCUCUCGCUCUCAGUCUCUCACGCAACCACACCGCCAACCGUAGUUGCCUUUGCCAUUCGCACACCCUCGGGAGCGUAUUCUUCGCCGUUCGCAAACCCACGGCAGCGAACUUCGACGGCGAUGCUUUCAACAGGUUCAUUCAAUUGAUCUUUAUCUUUUUUUUCUUAUGAUUUU
rnacentral:lncRNA from 1 species